rnacentral:rRNA from 1 species
AAUAUUGGACAAUGGGCGAAAGCCUGAUCCAGCCAUCCCGCGUGUGCGAUGAAGGCCUUCGGGUUGUAAAGCACUUUUGGCAGGGAAGAAAAGGCGCGGGCUAAUACCCGGCGCCGCUGACGGUACCUGCAGAAUAAGCACCGGCUAACUUCGUGCCAGCAGCCGCGGUAAUACGUAGGGGGCAAGCGUUGUCCGGAAUUAUUGGGCGUAAAGGGUGCGUAGGCGGCUUUUUAAGUCAGAUGUGAAAGACCACGGCUUAACCGUGGGGUUGCAUUUGAAACUGGAAGGCUUGAGUAUCGGAGAGGGUAGUGGAAUUCCCAGUGUAGCGGUGAAAUGCGUAGAUAUAGGAAGGAACACCAGUGGCGAAGGCGACUACCUGGACUGAUACUGACACUGAGGUGCGAAAGCGUGGGAGCAAAC